CGAGGUGUAGCUCAGUUGGUAGAGUGCUUGGUUUGGGACCAAGAUGCCGCAGGUUCGAGCCCUGUCACCUCGACCA
rnacentral:tRNA from 1 species